rnacentral:piRNA from 1 species
UGAAGGUCUGAUAGAAAUCUCCACUAAACC